rnacentral:rRNA from 1 species
GACGAACGCCGGCGGCGUGCUUAACACAUGCAAGUCGAGCGGUAAGGCCCUUUCGGGGGUACGACGAGCGGCGAACGGGUGAGUAACACGUGGGUGACCUGCCCUCAGCUCUGGGAUAAGCCUGGGAAACCGGGUCUAAUACUGGAUAUGACUCCAUGACGCAUGUUGUGGGGUGGAAAGCCUUGUGCGGCUGAGGAUGGGCCCGCGGCCUAUCAGCUUGUUGGUGGGGUGAUGGCCUACCAAGGCGACGACGGGUAGCCGGCCUGAGAGGGCGACCGGCCACACUGGGACUGAGACACGGCCCAGACUCCUACGGGAGGCAGCAGUGGGGAAUCUUGCGCAAUGGGCGAAAGCCUGACGCAGCGACGCCGCGUGAGGGAUGACGGCCUGGUGUAAC